rnacentral:lncRNA from 1 species
CGCCGCGCGUCCCGCCGAGCACGCGACUCGAUCGGGACACGCGCCCGUUGUCCGCGUGUAACGCAUUAAACGCGUCCAAUAAAAUUCGCGUAACCUAUCGCGAAAUCACCGUUAUCAUUUAUGACGGGGCUUACGCGGCUUGGCGGUGUAUAACGGUCGAGACGCGCCUCACGCCGUACAUCUUAAGUCUGUUCCUUUUAGCUAAACUUUUUGCGUCGUUCGUCUUUUCUCCUUUCUUUUCCUCGAUACAGAAAGAAAGAGGAAAGAAAUAAAUUGUGCACUAGAAAGAAGUUCACUUACAAAGGACAGACCUCUUGGCAAACGUUGUAUCCCCGACGGUCCGACCGAGAAAUCGUCGCUCAAUCCCGAGCAAAGAAUUAAACGAUGCGGAAGAAAUCCGCGUCAGCUGUCGCUGUUGUAACACUCGAUUUAUAUUUCGUAUGACGGCUGAUGUAACGCGAACAGCCACGUUCCAAGUCGAUUGCCAACUGCUCCGCAUAUAUUUAAUCGGUUAAAAUCGAUGCGACAAUACGAAAUGAGAGACGAAGACAUCAACAGUGUGAUCGGACUUGUAUAUUAAAUUUUUUUAAUGUAAUUUUAUCAAACAGAUUUGGUUGACUUUUGGAAAGUUACUCCUCUCCUCGCACGCCGAACACUUGACACGGCCCUGUUCUCGAGGAUUUUGUGCGAUUUCUUAUCUCUCGUUGCUUUUUCAUAUCUUAUACAAAGUUGUUUCCGAAGUAAUAUCGAACAUACAGUUUUCGAUACAUUACUUUCUUAAAUCGCAAAGAGACGACUCAUGCAAUCGAAAUAUCUCCGGUCAACGCGGUGCGCGUUGCAUCAUGUUCCGAUCGUAGAACGGAGAGAGAAAACGAGAAAACACGCUGUCAAGAUUGAUGCGCAAGUCAAGAAAUUAAUCUGUCUAUCUGUUACAAGAAAAUAGCAUCGAUAAAAUGAAAAUCGAUAAUAAUGCAUUUUUUUUUCCAACAAGAUUACAAGACGUUAUCCUGCCUCGAGCGAGUCGUCUUGUUAAAGUUUCACGAUAACACAGGGAAAACCCUUUAUAAUAUUUUGUAACAGAAAAAUUUAUGUAAGAAAACUCUCGAUUUUCUCUGUGCUCUUUUUAUUUAAUCCAACAGUCUCGUUAUUGAAGAAAAUUGCGUAAAUGUGUUAAGAAUAUAAACUUAUUAAAAAAUUUUUUAAAUAAUAUUUUUCAAAGGGAGAUUUUGAUUACACUUUCAUUAUUCAGUGACAUGAUGAAGGAGAAAUGUGUUUAAAAUGCAAAGCCGUCUUCACGAUCUGAAAAGGCCAAAAGAAUAAUUUUUAGAGCUUAUGGUACAAUUAAUUUUACUAAGAAAAAUUGAAAGUUUAUUUUUAAAAUUUAAUAAAGUGACAUUCAAUGUGUAAGAGACGUCUGAUAAAUUGACUGUUAAAUUUGAGUUUUCCAUCCUUCUGUUAUAUCUCCCACAACAUAUUCUUUCAUUCAAUUGAUGAUGACGAGUCACAAAUUACAAAAUGAGCAAAAGAGAAAGAAGAGAUAAAUGAAUAUCAUUAAAAGAUGAGAUCUGGAAUGAGAUAGAAUCUUGUCGCACGAAUUUGCAUUCGCCCGAUUGGCGAAUGUAAAUUGUUCCAUUGGUAUAUAUGCUGUUAAUCGGCUGCUUUUGUUUGUCAGGAAGAGCCCUUUCGAGCUUGUUAUCUCCGGUAUGUCCAUGAGGCACCAUGAGGUAUCUCGAAGGAAGGAUUCGUCGUUUCAGAGAUCCUCGGUAAACACGUGACGAAUUGUUUGUCCCUUCAAGGAUUCAUGAAUUUCCAUUACAACGGCAAACAAGAGAUAUCGAAAGUAAACGAGGAUCGUACAAGAUUUUCUGCCAUUGGCCAGUAGUUUCAUAACAAAGCUGUGAUAAGUAUUGCGUAACAACGUUGAAUGUCGGCCGUUCAAAAUAACAUGUCGAAAAUGAGCGAUAUCGCUCACUCAGCCUCGAGCCUUGAUGAUCAAAAGGGUAAAUGAGCUGUGCGCUCAUCGGAGAUCAUCGUAAAGCCUUUGAAUUUUAGACAAGAAAGGUCCGCGUUAAGGGGCGUAUCAAUCGUUUAAAUAGAGGAGAAAUAAUUUGCUUUUCCCGGAAUUGUAAAUAAGGGAAAUACCACAGAUUAGUAUUCUACCAAAAGUCGAUUUUCCAAAAAAAAAAAGAUAAAAUGUUAGAUGUACAAUAAUUCACUUUAUUUAUCAGCAUAUUUAAUGUAUCUUGCCAUAAAAAAAAAAAAA